rnacentral:tRNA from 1 species
GCCUAGUGGUCAAGGCUGUGGAUUGUCAAUCCGGAGACGGCGGGUUCUAAUCCUGU